GUUGUAGUAGCCUAUUUGAUGGUCGAAGUAUCCAAAAAUUAUUUUGAAUUUCGAAUUUUUUUACUUCGAAAAUUCCCUGGAAUUCACUUCGACCCUUGAUAAAUCUGCCCCAUAAAGAUUAGGAAACAUGGAAAAAAGUUUCCCUCAAGGUGGAACCCACAAAAAAGGGGAGCAAAAAGCUGUUAAAAAGAGGCCUAAGGAAAAUGACGACAACCUUUUUUCGGUAAGUAAUAUGAGAAUAUAUUUAUUUUCUAUCAAAUGGAAGUUUAUCUUUAAAAAAAUGUGUGUGUGUGUGUAUAAUAGUUUAAUUUUUAAGCCAUCCGUUAAAAAAACACAUCAGUGAUGAAACUUUACACUUCAGUAUUAGAAAAAUGGUCGCAAAUAGAAAAUAGAAAGUAAUUGAAAAAAGUCGUUAUUUCUGGUGGACUGUCUGAAACCAACUAUCACGCAAACCUGCUGUGCAGCAGUAAGGAGUGACUGAAGUUUAUCAGAGCACAAGUCACAUGACUGGGGGCACCUGGAAAACUGACAAUAUGUCUAGCCCAAUGUCGGAUUUAAAAUUAAAUUUAAAAAAUCAUGUUUUCCCAUGACAUUAUCCCUUUAAUUUGUGUUUGCCUGCAGGGCCCUUACUCAGAGUAGGGCAGUACCUAAACUAUGUGAUUAAGGAAGUGAAGAAUAAGGGUAAGAUCGUCUGUCUUUCCACCACCCAGAAUGACGUGGCUGGUGCUUUUGCAACUGUGGAACAGAACUGGAGCUUGAAUAAUCUGUUGCCUGGACUUGUACUUAAAACACAGGUAGAAAAGGUAAAUCUAGGAAAGAACUGUAUUUGGUUUGGUAUCCUGAAAUUACAGUGGAUCCGUGAGUAAAUCUAUAUAAUGUUUUUUUCCAGGUGACACAGAGCAGCCUCACUUUGUCUUUCCUUUCCUCCUACACGGGUUUUGUGGAUUUCUUGCACAUUGAACCAAAGAAAAUAGGUUCCUAUGAGGAGGGACAGGAAAUACGUAUCUAGUAAGGUUGACACCUUUUCUGGAAAAAAAUACCGGCCUUCCUAUAUAUUUAUCUUUUUUCCCUAUUAAUAAUAUUGGGAUCAAGCAUCAUUUUUACCGGCCAGGCUGGUAAAAUAACAGGAAGGUGGCAACCCUAGUAUCUAGACGAAGGGUUACAGACCUGCAGUUUGUUAUUAAUUUCUAAAAUUGGACCAUACCUGGGGCAGUAUUUGUUUAGAACAACUUUGACCUAGGUCAGCACUGUCACCAUUCAUCUCUGGGGUUCUAGGGUCAAUUCCAGCCGGGGUACUAUGAUUUUUAUAUUUUCUCCCCAUUUGUUUGGGUUUCCUUGUUCUUCAGCUUCCUCCCAAGCUCCAAGAACAUACAGAAUGAUUCAUUGACUCCUGAUCAUUGACCAUAAUGUGCACGAAUAUGAUAGCAACUUUUAAUUCUAGAAUGUUGGAGAGAUAUUUGGAUUCUUUAACACUAACUUUUCUUCUUGUCUGCAGGCCAAAGCCUGUAUCUAGUGGAUUGAUCCAUCCACAAAGACCAUCAGACUCGCACUCCGCCAGUGCUUUCUGCAACCAGGGAACCCUCUGCCUUGCAAAUUGCAAACAUUGGUUAAGAAUGCUGGAGCCAUUUUUGAGCUGGAUGGAGGAAACCUGGGCUUUGCAUUUGUAAGUUUUGGAGAUGCUGCAACACACAAACCUUAAAAAUGGAUGACACGGGUUGGCGGUUCUCCAGGUUUGCGGGUCGGGUGUCUUCUCAAUAGUGAGUUUUACUCCUUUUUUCUCAGCACUUCCUGUUUUACUCCUUUUUUUCUGAUCACGCCUACUUCUAAUGAUGUCACUUCCGGUUCACAAUGACAGCACUUCCUGUUUCUUGAUGGUCAGUGGGUCACAGAUCGGGUUGCGGAUAAGGUACUUGUGGGUCAGGUAGCGGGUCCAAGCUGGUGUGGGUCGUGGGUCAGGUUCAGGUCUCACAAAUUGGUUCCGCGCAGGAAUCUAGCUUGUGCUACAAUUCUGACGUGCAAAGAACGAUCGUUCUACGACAAAUGUCUGUAAUUAACACCCACUGCCCGAUUUUAUCCCUAAACAACCAACAUUUUUAAACUCACGAUCAAUUUUGUUCGUACACCAUCAACCAUCCGAUAAGUUACCGAUAUUAUCGGAACGUUAGGGAAUCAGUCGUUUGGAAGUAAAAAAUCUGCCCGUGUAUGGCCACCUUUACGCUUAGAAAAUAGAUUCUGUUCUUUCUUGAUGUCUCCACAACACUGUAUUUAGAGAAAAAUCUCUAUGAUGUAAAUUUAAAUCCUUUCGGGGCACCAAAAUUGUUUGAAAAGAUUUGAUAAACUUGCUCAUCACUCGGUGUGUCUUUGUGCCUUUUUUUCCCCUAUUGAAAAAUGGCAACACUAAUACCAUAACUGUCUUACCCUACCAUCAUUUCUUCUUGUCCUCCUCGCAACUGCUCCUCAGGGCAUACUCCUUGUAUACAGCUCUGAUAAUAUCACACCCUUCUGCAAUAUACUGGAAAUUAAAGGUGAUGAUUCCCUUUAAAAGAAAAAGUUGAUGAACUUUUAGUACAAAACUUGCGGUUGGCUUAGUCCUUUACAAGUUUGGUUCAGUUAUUAACAAAGAAAUCUGUUCUGAUUUCCUCCUUUGAGAAAGGAUUGUGUGCAAAAGUCAUUUCUGAAGUGCAGCCAGGGAUGCACCUGACUGGCUUUGUGAAAAGUUUCAUGCCAUAUGGUGUCUUUGUAGAAUUCCCAUACAGCCUGUUUGGAUUGGUGCCCAAAUCAGUAAGUAAUGGCAGUCUGUGUGGCUUCACGUGGGAGAGAUGUCAGACUGUGGAGUGCCUUAGUCUCCUUUGGACGUGAUAAACAAUUUUAAUUGACGUUCUGCAAGCUAUAAAAGACAAGACAUCUGUAGAAGUGGGGGUAACCUCCCCGAGGGACUCCCUAAUAUUGCUUUGCAGAGCAGAAAAAAAGAGAACUGAAGGUGACUGAUAGUAGUGUCAUUGAAUAUAUGCAAACAGUUGGAAGGGAAUUAGCCAAAUUGGUGCCCUUAAAACAACGUCAUAGAAGUGGAAUCUCCAGCCUCAAAGCUGCUGUUGUGUGAGAUUUGUAGUGCAGCAAAGAAUAUAACAAAUAGCUUGCUUCAAUUAUAACUUUAGUAAACUGUGGCCAACUCCACCUAUUGAGUCCAGGCCUGGAAAUAAUAAAAAUAUGGAAAACUCCACUCAACCUCUGUUUGUUUUUACGUAUAGUUAAUCUCCCAUCGAAAAUCCAUAUGAACUGACAAAUCACACUGCUGUUUUUUUCCUAAUAGGAAAUAUCUGACAAGUUUGUGACCAACAUCAGCGACCAUUUUGUUGAGGGCCAGACUGUGGUUGCCACAUUGAACAAGAUGGAUGAAGAGAAAAAGAGGUUCCUGCUGACUCUGAAGAUAUCGGAAUACGCUCCCCAUGAUUGUUCCAUUGAAGGCCUUUUUCUUCUGAGCCAGUGUUUCAGUGAACUGCAGCUCCUGAAGGAUCUGCUCGGGUCCCCAGAUUUGCUGGAUCACAACUGCCUUCACAUUGAUUCCAAAACCUCUGGAUAGACAAGGGACAUUUUUGAGCGUGUUAUUCAUCUGAGCUUGGCAGCUAAAUGGAUCAAGUUCUUUUUCAAGCUCUACUUGGAGUACGAAAAGAAACACAGAAGCACUGAGAGCGUCCAGGCUGUGAAAGAGAAAGCCCUGCAGUAUGUGGAAUCUCAGAGUUCUUUGGCGCCCUGUGCUUAAAGGAGAAGGAAAGCUACGGAGGCAUUUUAUUGCCAAUAGAUUAGCUGCAAUAGUGCAACCUAGAAUGCUAUAUUUAUUCUGUAGAAUGUUUUACCAUACCUGAGUAAAAAGCUGUAGA